GACGAACCGUGCGAACGUUGUUCGGAAUCACUGGGCUUAAAGGGCCAGUAGGCGGCCGACUAAGUCCGACGUGAAAUCCCCAGGCUAACCUGGGAACUGCGUCGGAUACUGGCCGGCUUGAAUUCGGGGAGAGGGAUGCAGAAUUCCAGGUGUAGCGGUGAAAUGCGUAGAUAUCUGGAGGAAUACCGGUGGCGAAGGCGGCAUCCUGGACCGAGAUUGACGCUGAACGGCGAAAGCUAGGGGAGCGAA
rnacentral:rRNA from 1 species